rnacentral:lncRNA from 1 species
AGAUUUAUUUAGAUCAAAUCUAGAGCCCAUUGUUGAGGCACCUUUAAGGAGAUUUGGUAGAGUAUCAUGUCAGCCAGACAAAGACUAUGGUUUCUUGGUCCGGGAUGGAUAUCCUAUUGAACUAGAUGAAAACAAUAAAGAUCCGAUCAAUUACAAGGAUGCGAUGCAGCGAUCCAACUCUGACAAAUGGCUUGAUGCCAUAAAAUUUGAGAUGGAGUCCAUGG